UACGGAAGGCAGCAGUGGGGAAUAUUGCACAAUGGGCGCAAGCCUGAUGCAGCCAUGCCGCGUGUAUGAAGAAGGCCUUCGGGUUGUAAAGUACUUUCAGUCGUGAGGAAGGUGUUAAGGUUAAUAACCUUAGCAAUUGACGUUAGCGACAGAAGAAGCACCGGCUAACUCCGUGCCAGCAGCCGCGGUAAUACGGAGGGUGCGAGCGUUAAUCGGAAUUACUGGGCGUAAAGGGCACGCAGGCGGUUAAUUAAGUUGGAUGUGAAAUCCCCGGGCUUAACCUGGGAAUGGCAUUCAAGACUGGUUAGCUAGAGUCUUGUAGAGGGGGUAGAAUUCCAUGUGUAGCGGUGAAAUGCGUAGAGAUGUGGAGGAAUACCGGUGGCGAAGGCGGCCCCUGGGACAAGACUGACGCUCAUGUGCGAAAGCGUGGGGAGCAAACG
rnacentral:rRNA from 1 species